ACCUGGGUGGCUCAGUGGUUGAGUGUCUGCCUUUGGCUCAGGUCAUGAUCCUGGGGUCUUGGGAUCAAGUCCCACAUCAGGUU
rnacentral:tRNA from 1 species